rnacentral:rRNA from 1 species
AAUCCUGAAUUCGAAAGGGAUUGGAUUCAAGUCGCCCGGUUGUUCAGGCUGCCUGACCUCGCCAGAUGGUGCCGGUCGCCCACGGCGAUUCAUUUCGCUUGUGGUGUCGUUCCCGGCGAUCACUCGGUGGGGUGGUAUUGCUCUGUCGCCGGAGGAGUGCACUUCCUCCCUAGUAGAAACGUCGCGACCCGUUGGGUGCCGGUCAAAGGCCCGGGAUGGCAGCCCACGUGUCCUGUGGGGUUCCUCACAGGCAUGCGGACUCCUGGUGUCCCGGCCGGCUGCCCGACGGUAUGACCAGAGGAGUCGAUCCGCUGAAUGUGAAACACUGUGGUUGUGAAGCGUCCGGCCCGGCGCCGACGCGUGCGGGGAUUGAGGUGCAAACCGGGGGUGUCCGUGCGAAGCACGGCCCCGGCCCCGCUGCGUCGUCGGAUUUGUCGGUGACCUCGGACUGGAUCUGUACUCCCGUCGGCGACGCCCACCUUCGGAUGGUCUCCCG